CUUAAUUUUCCCGUGACCUAAACCUAUUCCUUUUCCCUCCUUCCGAUUCCGACUACGUGCGGCGCUUCUGCUCGGGCGACAACGAAGAAGAAGCUAGGUUCUGGUCUCCGGCAGCCGGCCAAGGAUCAAAGCCGAGAGUUUUCUACACCAUUGUGAUCCUCUCGUCGAGGAGAGCUUGUGGGCACGAGGAGGAAUUGGGAACUCAAGCAUCUCGGAAACCCUAGAGCUGCCUUUCUCCUUCGGUAGUGAGCUCAAGAACGCACUAUAAAGGAAAGGAAAAUAUCUAACAAGGAAGGCGACAAGGUGGUGCGGAUGGUGUGUGAUGCUAGGAUUAUGGAAGUCUUAGGGCUAGAAAAGAGUUCUUUUAGUUUUCUUUCUUUAUUACUAAGUUUUCCAUGUUUUAGUGGACUGUAAACAUUUGAGAUUGUAUUUUAAGUUCCAUGUCAUGUGAGAUUGUUUUAGAUAGUA